rnacentral:misc_RNA from 1 species
GCAAACUUGGUCAUUUAGAGGAAGUAAAAGUCGUAACAAGGUUUCCGUAGGUGAACCUGCGGAAGGAUCAUUACCGGGUAUCAGGGGCUUCGGCCCCGCUCCCACACCCUCUGCAAACCCUUUGACGACCCCAUGGCACAAGGUCGCGCGGGGGGACCCCUUAGGGGGCCCCUUCCUCUGACCUGCCAGCCAACCGAAACUCUGUCUCAAACCUUGCGUUCUGAGCACUACUAUGAAAAUAGCGAAAAACUUUCAACAACGGAUCUCUUGGUUCUGGCAUCGAUGAAGAACGCAGC